AUUGAACGCUGGCGGCAUGCUUUACACAUGCAAGUCGAACGGCAGCGCGGGCUUCGGCCUGGCGGCGAGUGGCGCACGGGUGAGUAAUGCAUCGGAACGUGCCCAGUAGUGGGGGAUAGCCCGGCGAAAGCCGGUUUAAUACCGCAUACGACCUGCGGGUGAAAGCGGGGGACCGAAAGGCCUCGCGCUAUUGGAGCGGCCGAUGUCGGAUUAGCUAGUUGGUGGGGUAAAGGCUUACCAAGGCGACGAUCCGUAGCUGGUCUGAGAGGACGACCAGCCACACUGGGACUGAGACACGGCCCAGACUCCUACGGGAGGCAGCAGUGGGGAAUUUUGGACAAUGGGGGCAACCCUGAUCCAGCCAUGCCGCGUGCGGGAAGAAGGCCUUCGGGUUGUAAACCGCUUUUGUUCGGGAAGAAAUCCUCUGGGCUAAUACCCCGGGGGGAUGACGGUACCGGAAGAAUAAGCACCGGCUAACUACGUG
rnacentral:rRNA from 1 species